GUCACUUUGCCGGAGUGGUUAACGGGAUCGCCUGCUAUCUUGCAUACAAGCGGUUGUGCUUUGCACGCGUGUGUUCGAAUCGCACAGGUGACG